GCAGAAUUCAGUGAAUCAUCGAAUCUUUGAACGCAAAUGGCGCUCUUGGGUUCUCCCAGGAGCAUGUCUGUCUGAGUGUCUUUUUCGUUGAAUGACAUUCGCACGAUGUGGCCGUGUUAUGCACUGGCGUUUCGUGCGGCGUUGAGGUUCGCGGCCUUGCUAUUCUUAGGCCGCGUGCCUUUAAAUGGAGGAGGAAGAUGGGCUCAAGGUCCGGUGCAGUCGCAUGCGGAUUCAGUUGAUGUGCCGCAUGUGACUGCUGCAUCGGGAAUAUUGUCCUCGGCCCUCUACCUCGUGACCUUUAGCAGGACGCUCGUUCGUUCGUUCGUUCGUUCGUUCGUUCGUUCGUUCGUUCGUUCGUUGCUUGCCGCCAGACCUCAGAUCAGGCAAGGCUACCCGCUGAAUUUAAGCAUAUUAAUAAGCGGAGGAAAAGAAACUAACAAGGAUUCCCCCAGUAACGGCGAGUGAAGCGGGAAGAGCUCAAAUUUGAAAUCUCCGAUGCCUGCAUCGGCGAGUUGUAGUUGCGAGAAGCACUUUCUAGGCGGAAGGGCCCUGCCUAAGUUGCUUGGAACAGCACGUCGCAGAGGGUGACAACCCCGUCU
rnacentral:misc_RNA from 1 species